UUUAGAUAAAUACUAUGAUAGAUAUUAAUAAUCAGUGUUCCUACGCAUUUUAACCAAUACUUUUUCAUGACCUUUUUGGCAAAUUUCCAUGACUAUGUCUUCCUGAAAAUCUCAGUCGACAUUAUACAAUAAGAAUAAAAAUCCGUGUUAACGUUUAUCCUCAGAGGUUUAACAAUAA